UACGUAGGGUGCGAGCGUUGUCCGGAAUUACUGGGCGUAAAGAGUUCGUAGGCGGUUUGUCGCGUCGUUUGUGAAAACUCACAGCUCAACUGUGAGCCUGCAGGCGAUACGGGCAGACUUGAGUACUGCAGGGGAGACUGGAAUUCCUGGUGUAGCGGUGAAUGCGCAGAUAUCAGGAGGAACACCGGUGGCGAAGGCGGGUCUCUGGGCAGUAACUGACGCUGAGGAACGAAAGCGUGGGUAGCAAACAGG
rnacentral:rRNA from 1 species